GACAGAGGGUGCAACCGUUGUUCGGAUUUACUGGGCGUAAAGCGCGUGUAGGCGGCUUCGCAAGUUGGAUGUGAAAGCCCACGGCUCAACCGUGGAAGCGCAUCCAAAACUGCGUCGCUGGAGUCCCGGAGAGGAAGGUGGAAUGCUUGGUGUAGAGGUGAAAUUCGUAGAUAUCAAGCAGAACACCUGCGGCGAAGGCGGCCUUCUGGACGGUGACUGACGCUGAGACGCGAAAGCGUGGGGAGCGAACAGG
rnacentral:rRNA from 1 species